UGGGGAAUCUUCCGCAAUGGACGAAAGUCUGACGGAGCAACGCCGCAUGAGUGAAGAAGGUUUUCGGAUCGUAAAACUCUGUCUUUUGGGGCGAACGUGAGUAUGGUGAACAAUCAUAGUCAGUGACGGUACCAAAGGAGGAAGCCACGGCUAACUACGUGCCAGCAGCCGCGGUAAUACGUAGGUGGCAAGCGUUGUCCGGAAUUAUUGGGCGUAAAGAGCGCGUAGGCGGGAUAGUCAGUCUGUUGUAAAAGUGCGGGGCUCAACCCCGCGAUGGCAAUGGAAACAGCUAUUCUUGAGUGCAGGAGAGGAAAGUGGAAUUCCCAGUGUAGCGGUGAAAUGCGUAGAUAUUGGGAGGAACACCAGUGGCGAAGGCGACUUUCUGGACUGUGUCUGACGCUGAGGCGCGAAAGCCAGGGGAGCGAACGGGAUUAGAUACCCCGGUAGUCCUGGCCGUAAACGAUGGGUACUAGGUGUGGGAGGUAUCGACCCCUUCCGUGCCGGAGUUAACGCAAUAAGUGCCCCGCCUGGGGAGUACGGUCGCAAGACUGAAACUUAAAUGAAUUGACGGGGUCAUAGCUGUUUCCUG
rnacentral:rRNA from 1 species